rnacentral:rRNA from 1 species
UACGUAGGAUGCGAGCGUUGCCCGGAUUAUUGGCGUAAAGGGCGCGUAGGCGGCCACGCACGUCCGUUGUGAAAUCGCCCGGCUCAACUGGGCGGGUCAGCGGAUACGGUGUGGCUCGAGCGAAGCUAGGGGCAAGUGGAAUUCCCGGUGUAGUGGUGGAAUGCGUAGAUAUCGGAGGAACACCAGUGGCGGAAGGCGGUUGCCUGGAGCUUUGCGUGACGCUGAUGCGCGAAAGCGUGGGGAGCGAGUCCGGA